AUUAAGUUAGUUUAUUUUAAAACAUAAGUUUGUCAUUUUUAAGAAGCUUCUAGUAGUACUUUUUA
rnacentral:tRNA from 1 species